UACAGAGGUCCCAAGCGUUGUUCGGAUUUACUGGGCGUAAAGGGUGCGUAGGUGGCGAGGUAAGUUCGAUGUGAAAUCUCCGAGCUCAACUCGGAAAUGGCAUUGAAUACUAUCCCGCUUGAGGGUCGGAGGGGAGACUGGAAUUCUCGGUGUAGCAGUGAAAUGCGCAGAUAUCAGGAGGAACACCGGUGGCGAAGGCGGUUCUCUGGGCAUUACCUGACGCUGAGGAGCGAAAGUGUGGGGAGCGAACAGG
rnacentral:rRNA from 1 species